rnacentral:misc_RNA from 1 species
GGAAGUAAAAGCGUAAAAAGGUUUCCGUAGGUGAACCUGCGGAAGGAUCCUUAUUGUAUAACCGAGGUGCGAGGGCUGUCGCUGACCCGAAAGGUCGUGCACGCCCGAGUGCCCUCACACACAUCCAUCUCACCCCUAUGUGCACCACCGCGUGGGUCCCCCUUUGGCUUGUUCGGAGGGGGGCUUACGUUUUCACACAAACUUUGUAUGCAGUGUAGAAUGUAUUUUUUGUUUUUGCGAUCACGCAAUCAAUACAACUUUCAACAACGGAUCUCUUGGCUCUC